CGUAAGGCGCCGAAUGAGUCAUUAAAAAAUUAACAUCAUCCGAUCCCUAGUCGGCAUAGUUUAUGGUUAAGACUACGACGGUAUCUGAUCGUCUUCGAUCCCCUAACUUUCGUUCUUGAUUAAUGAAAACAUCCUUGGCAAAUGCUUUUCGCAGUAGUUAGUCUUCAAUAAAUCCAAGAAUUUCACCUCUGACAAUUGAAUACUAAUGCCCCCAACUAUCCCUAUUAAUCAUUACGUCGAUCCUAGAAACCAACAAAAUAGAAUCAAACGUCCUAUUUCAUUAUUCCAUGCUAAUGUAUUCAAGCGUGAGCCUGCUUUAAACACUCUUAAUUUUUCAAAGUAACAGUCCUGAUUCCCAAGACACCAAAUUAAUGACAU
rnacentral:rRNA from 1 species